GGCGGCCGGAGCGCGAUGGCGGGGGCGGCGGGACUCACGGCAGAAGUGAGCUGGAAGGUCUUGGAGCGAAGAGCUCGGACCAAGCGCUCAGGCUCAGUUUAUGAACCUCUUAAAAGCAUUAAUCUUCCAAGACCUGAUAAUGAAACUCUCUGGGAUAAGUUGGACCAUUAUUACAGAAUUGUCAAGUCAACAUUGCUGCUGUAUCAAAGUCCAACUACCGGUCUCUUUCCCACUAAAACAUGCGGUGGUGACCAGAAGGCCAAGAUCCAGGACAGCCUAUACUGCGCUGCUGGGGCCUGGGCUUUGGCUCUUGCAUACAGGCGAAUUGAUGAUGACAAGGGAAGGACCCAUGAGCUGGAGCACUCAGCUAUAAAAUGCAUGAGAGGAAUUCUCUACUGCUAUAUGCGUCAGGCCGAUAAGGUCCAGCAGUUUAAGCAGGAUCCACGCCCAACAACAUGUCUUCACUCUGUUUUCAAUGUGCAUACAGGAGAUGAGUUGCUCUCCUAUGAGGAAUAUGGUCAUCUUCAGAUAAAUGCAGUGUCACUCUAUCUCCUUUACCUUGUGGAAAUGAUUUCCUCAGGACUUCAGAUUAUCUACAACACUGAUGAGGUCUCUUUUAUUCAAAACCUUGUAUUUUGUGUGGAAAGAGUUUACCGUGUGCCUGACUUUGGUGUCUGGGAAAGAGGAAGCAAAUAUAAUAAUGGCAGCACAGAGCUACAUUCGAGCUCGGUUGGUUUAGCAAAAGCAGCUCUAGAAGCAAUUAAUGGAUUCAACCUUUUUGGCAACCAGGGCUGUUCGUGGUCAGUUAUAUUUGUGGAUCUCGAUGCUCACAAUCGCAACAGGCAAACUUUGUGCUCGCUGUUACCCAGAGAAUCAAGAUCACAUAAUACAGAUGCUGCCCUGCUCCCCUGCAUCAGUUAUCCUGCAUUUGCCCUGGAUGAUGAAGUUCUUUUUAGCCAGACACUUGAUAAAGUGGUUAGAAAAUUAAAAGGAAAAUAUGGAUUUAAACGUUUCUUGAGAGAUGGGUAUAGAACAUCAUUGGAAGAUCCCAACAGAUGCUACUACAAGCCAGCUGAAAUUAAGAGACCAGAUCCCCCUAUGUUGCCCAGGCUGGACUGGAACUCCAGGGCUCAAGUGAUUCUCCUGCCUCAGCCUCCCAAGUAGCUCAGACUACAGGCAUACACCACCACAUCCAGCUUUAUUUAAUUUCACAGUUGACUAUCACUUGGAAACCAUUUUAUUGUGUGCACUUUUGAAAUUUUAGCAGUGUUGGCAGUGUUACAAUCUGUUAGGUUGGGCCAAAAGAUCCAUUUAUCUCUUAAACACCUUCAAAUGUUUCUUUCCUAUUUAAUACAUUUUCUGUGCCAAUAUUUACAGCACUUACAUUUGAAUUGGACCACCUGCAACUAACUACCACCUCGCACGCUUCCAACUUUGGAUCUGUCCAGCAAGCUUUCUUGCUUUGGAUCUGCCAGCAAGCUUUCUGCACCUUCUGCUGAGCACCACCAAGGAAAGCCACAGCACUGUGGGUAGGAGCUGCCCCACAGUCAGGAGAUCUUUCUUGGUUCAGCCUCAUCAUUGCUGUCGGUUCUUGUCAGUCCUGCUAUCUGACUCUG
rnacentral:sRNA from 1 species